rnacentral:rRNA from 1 species
CAUAAUCAUUAGUUUUUUAAUUGAAAACUUGUAUGAAUGGUUGAACAAAAGAAGUUCUGUCUUGUUUUUAAAAAUUGAAUUUAACCUUUAAGUGAGAAGGCUUAAAUAUUUUAAAGGGACGAUAAGACCCUAUAAAGCUUUAAUAAGAAUUUAAUUAAUUUUUAAAUUAGUUUAUAAAGGAAAUUUGUUAAUGUUUUAUUAUAUUGGGGUGAUAUAAAUAUAAAUUAAAAUAACUGUUUAGUUGAAAUACACAUUUUUGUGAAAUAUAAAAGAUCCUAUUUAAAGAUUGGAAGACAAAGUUACUUUAGGGAUAACAGCGUUAUUUCUUUUGAGAGUUCUUAUUGAAAAAGGAGUUUGCGACCUCGAUGUUGAAUUAAAAAAUCUUUACAGUGUAGCCGUUGUAAGAAG